CUUACACAUGCAGUCUUUGGCAAGCUGUGCUUGCACAGUCUAGCCAAGGCGGACGGGUGAGUAACGCGUAAGGAACUUGCCCUGCAGUCAGGGAUAACAGACGGAAACGACUGAUAAAACCUGAUAAAGUCAGGCGGACUCAUGUCCAGCCUGAUGAAAAGAGAUGCUGCAGGAGAGCCUUGCGUCCUAUUAGCUUGUUGGUGGGGUAACGGCCCACCAAGGCGAUGAUAGGUAGCCGGCCUGAGAGGGUGGACGGCCACAAGGGGACUGGGAUACGGCCCUUACUCCUACGGGAGGCAGCAGUGGGGAAUAUUGGACAAUGGGGGCAACCCUGAUCCAGCAAUUCUGUGUGCACGAUGAAGGUUUUCGGAUUGUAAAGUGCUUUCAGCAGGGAAGAAAAAAAUGACGGUACCUGCAGAAGAAGCGACGGCUAAAUACGUGCCAGCAGCCGCGGUAAUACGUAUGUCGCAAGCGUUAUCCGGAAUUAUUGGGCAUAAAGGGCAUCUAGGCGGCCAGAUAAGUCUGGGGUGAAAACUUGCGGCUCAACCGCAAGCCUGCCCUGGAAACUAUGUGGCUAGAGUACUGGAGAGGUGGACGGAACUGCACGAGUAGAGGUGAAAUUCGUAGAUAUGUGCAGGAAUGCCGAUGAUGAAGAUAGUUCACUGGACGGUAACUGACGCUGAAGUGCGAAAGCUAGGGGAGCAAACAGGAUUAGAUACCCUGGUAGUCCUAGCUGUAAACGAUGAUUACUGGGUGUGGGCAUGAAGAGUGUCCGUGCCGAAGCUAAUGCGAUAAGUAAUCCGCCUGGGGAGUACGGCCGCAAGGCUGAAACUCAAAGGAAUUGACGGGGACCCGCACAAGCGGUGGAGCAUGUGGUUUAAUUCGACGCAACGCGAGGAACCUUACCAGAUCUUGACAUCCU
rnacentral:rRNA from 1 species